rnacentral:rRNA from 1 species
GACGAACGCUGGCGGCGUGCCUAAUACAUGCAAGUCGAGCGGACCUUUCGGGGUCAGCGGCGGACGGGUGAGUAACACGUGGGCAAUCUGCCCGAUACUCUGGGAUAACGCUUGGAAACGAGUGCUAAUACCGGAUGGUCUUCUUGGCCGCAUGGCCGAAAAGGAAAAGACGCGUUCGCGUCGGUGUCGGAUGAGCCCGCGGCGCAUUAGCUAGUUGGUGAGGUAACGGCCCACCAAGGCGACGAUGCGUAGCCGACCUGAGAGGGUGACCGGCCACACUGGGACUGAGACACGGCCCAGACUCCUACGGGAGGCAGCAGUAGGGAAUCUUCCACAAUGGGCGAAAGCCUGAUGGAGCAACGCCGCGUGAGUGAUGAAGGCCUUCGGGUUGUAAAACUCUGUCAUUCGGGACGAACCGGAGUCUGAGGAAGUGCAGACUCUCUGACGGUACCGGAGGAGGAAGCCCCGGCUAACUACGUGCCAGCAGCCGCGGUAAUACGUANGGGGCAAGCGUUGUCCGGAUUCACUGGGCGUAAAGCGCGCGCAGGCGGUGAUGUAAGUCUGANGUGAAAACCCGAAGCUCAACUUCGGGACUGCCUUGGAUACUGCGUCACUUGAGGAUAGGAGAGGCAAGGGGAAUUCCACGUGUAGCGGUGAAAUGCGUANAGAUGUGGAGGAACACCUGGUGGCGAANGCGCCUUGCUGGCCUAUUUCUGACGCUGAGGCGCGAAAGCGUGGGGAGCAAACAGGAUUAGAUACCCUGGUAGUCCACGCUGUAAACGAUGAGCGCUAGGUGUAGGUGGGCUCAUACCCAUCUGUGCCGAAGCUAACGCAUUAAGCACUCCGCCUGGGGAGUACGGUCGCAAGACUGAAACUCAAAGGAAUUGACGGGGGCCCGCACAAGCAGUGGAGCAUGUGGUUUAAUUCGAAGCAACGCGAAGAAUCUUACCAGGACUUGACAUCCCAUAGACCAGUCUAGAGAUAGACUUUCCCUUCGGGGCUGUGGUGACAGGUGGUGCAUGGUUGUCGUCAGCUCGUGUCGUGAGAUGUUGGGUUAAGUCCCGCAACGAGCGCAACCCUUACUUUGUGUUGCCAGCAUUCAGUUGGGCACUCACAAGGGACUGCCGCCGAUAAGGCGGAGGAAGGUGGGGAUGACGUCAAAUCAUCAUGCCCCUUAUGUCCUGGGCUACACACGUGCUACAAUGGGCGGUACAACGGGAUGCGAAGCCGCGAGGUGGAGCCAAACCCUGAAAACCGUUCGUAGUUCGGAUUGUAGGCUGCAACUCGCCUACAUGAAGCCGGAAUUGCUAGUAAUCGCGGAUCAGCAUGCCGCGGUGAAUCCGUUCCCGGGCCUUGUACACACCGCCCGUCACACCACGAGAAUGGGCGACACCCGAAGUCGGUGGGGUAACCUUUACGGGAGCUAGCCGCCGAAGGUGGGGCCUGUGAUUGGGGUGAAGU